CCCAGACUCCUACGGGAGGCAGCAGUGGGGAAUAUUGGGCAAUGGGCGCAAGCCUGACCCAGCAACGCCGCGUGAAGGAAGAAGGCUUUCGGGUUGUAAACUUCUUUUAAGAGGGAAGAGUAGAAGACGGUACCUCUUGAAUAAGCCACGGCUAACUACGUGCCAGCAGCCGCGGUAAUACGUAGGUGGCAAGCGUUGUCCGGAUUUACUGGGUGUAAAGGGCGUGUAGCCGGGCCGGCAAGUCAGAUGUGGAGGCCCAAGGCUCAACCUUGGAACUGCAUUUGAAACUGUUGGUCUUGAGUAUCGGAGAGGAAGGCGGAAUUCCUAGGGUAGCGGUGAAAUGCGUGGAAAUUAGGAGGAACACCAGUGGCGAAGGCGGCCUGCUGGACGACAACUGACGGUGAGGCGCGAAAGCGUGGGGAGCAAACAG
rnacentral:rRNA from 1 species